rnacentral:rRNA from 1 species
AUUGAACGCUGGCGGCAUGCCUCACACAUGCAAGUCGAACGGCAGCGGACCUUCGGGUGCCGGCGAGUGGCGAACGGGUGAGUAAUAUAUCGGAACGUACCUUUCAGUGGGGGAUAACGUAGCGAAAGUUACGCUAAUACCGCAUAUUCUGUGAGCAGGAAAGCAGGGGAUCGCAAGACCUUGCGCUGAUUGAGCGGCCGAUAUCAGAUUAGCUAGUUGGUGAGGUAAAGGCUCACCAAGGCGACGAUCUGUAGCGGGUCUGAGAGGAUGAUCCGCCACACUGGAACUGAGACACGGUCCAGACUCCUACGGGAGGCAGUAGUGGGGAAUUUUGGACAAUGGGGGAAACCCUGAUCCAGCAAUGCCGCGUGAGUGAAGAAGGCCUCGGUUGUAAAG